CCUGGCUCAGAUUGAACGCUGGCGGCAGGCCUAACACAUGCAAGUCGAGCGAGAAAGGUCUUCGGACUGAGUACAGCGGCGGACGGGUGAGUAAAGCGUAGGAAUCUACCUGGUAGUGGGGGAUAACUUGGGGAAACUCAAACUAAUACCGCAUACGCCCUACGGGGGAAAGCGGGGGACCUUCGGGCCUCGCGCUAUCAGAUGAGCCUGCGUAGGAUUAGCUAGUUGGUGAGGUAAAGGCUCACCAAGGCGACGAUCCUUAGCUGGUCUGAGAGGAUGAUCAGCCACACUGGGACUGAGACACGGCCCAGACUCCUACGGGAGGCAGCAGUGGGGAAUAUUGCGCAAUGGGCGAAAGCCUGACGCAGCCAUGCCGCGUGUGUGAAGAAGGCCUUAGGGUUGUAAAGCACUUUCAAUUGGGAAGAAAAGUUGGUCGUUAAUAGCGGCCAGCUCUGACAUUACCUUUAGAAGAAGGACCGGCUAACUCCGUG
rnacentral:rRNA from 1 species